GCUGGGUGUGAUGGCUCACACCUGUAAUCCCAGCACCUUGGGAGGCUGAGGUGGGCGGAUCACUUGAGCUCAGGAGUUGGAGACCAGCCUGGCCAACAGGGCGAAACCUCGUCUCGACUGAAAAUACAAAAAAUUAGCUGGGCAUGUUGGCGGGUGCCUGUAAUCCCAGCUACUCGGGAGGCUGAGGCAGGAGAAUCACUUGAACCCAGGAGGCCAAGGUUGUGGUGAACCGAGAUGGCGCCACUGCACUCCAGCCUGGGCAACAGAGUGAGACUCCAUCUCAA
ensembl:misc_RNA Metazoa_SRP Metazoan signal recognition particle RNA